AGUAGAGUUGCUGGAUCAUAUGGUAAGUUUAACUUUUUAAGAAACUGGUGAGCUUUUUUAAAGUAGCUGUGCCAUUUGACGUUCCCACCAGCAAU
rnacentral:pre_miRNA from 1 species